AGGCAGUGUAUUGUUAGCUGGCUGCUUUGGAUCAGUUCAGCAGCCGGGACUACCUGCCACC
rnacentral:pre_miRNA from 1 species